rnacentral:rRNA from 1 species
AUGCGCCAGCUUAACGGGGCCUAUGAUCUCCCAGGGUUAUUGAUCGGUGACCUCAAUGAAAUCCAAUCGCUUCAAGAAAAGGAUGGCGGUAACCCUCGGCCUCAACAAUAUAUGAUGGCAUUCCAAUCAGCAAUUGAAGCCUGCGAGUUACGUGACCUCGGUUUUGUUGGGGAUCGGUUCACAUGGCACAGGGGAAGAAUUAGGGAAAGGUUGGACAUGGGUCUGGUUAAUGAGGCGUGGUCAGUGCUAUUCCCUGAAGCAGCUUUGGAGAAUCUGCAGUAUAAUCACAGCGAUCACCGACCUUUGCUAGUGAAUACAGAGUAUUACUCGUUACCGACACAAGCUGGUCUAGACCUGCCAAGGAGGUUCGAGGCAAGAUGGCUUCAUGAAGAACAAUUUAAUGAAACUGUGCUUGAUGCAUGGAAUAAAGUUGGGACUGACCCGACAGCAAAUAACAUUUAUACAAAGCUAAAUCGUAUGCAUGCCCAAUUCCAUGACUAG